rnacentral:rRNA from 1 species
AACGCGAAGAACCUUACCUGCCCUUGACAUCCSGGUGACCGSAGAGUAAUGUCUCCUUUCCUUCGGGACACUSRAGACAGGUGGUGCAUGGUUGUCGUCAGCUCGUGUCGUGAGAUGUUGGGUUAAGUCCCGCAACGAGCGCAACCCUUAUCUUYAGUAGCCAGCGGUUCGGCCGGGCACUCUGGAGAGACUGCCAGGGAUAACCUGGAGGAAGGUGGGGAUGACGUCAAAUCAUCAUGCCCCUUAUGGGCAGGGCUACACACGUGCUACAAUGGCGUAAACAAAGGGAGGCAAUACUGCGAAGUUGAGCAAAUCCCAAAAAUAACGUCUCAGUUCGGAUUGUAGUCUGCAACUCGACUACAUGAAGCUGGAAUCGCUAGUAAUCGCGAAUCAGAAUGUCGCGGUGAAUACGUUCCCGGGUCUUGUACACACC